rnacentral:rRNA from 1 species
GAGUUUGAUUCUGGCUCAGGAUGAACGCUGGCGGCGUGCCUAAUACAUGCAAGUCGAGCGAGAAUCUGAACGACGGAGACUUCGGUCAAAGGAAUUCAGAGGAAAGCGGCGGACGGGUGAGUAACGCGUGGGCAACCUGCCCCAUACAGAGGGAUAGCAGUUGGAAACGACUAUUAAUACCUCAUACUCCGGUUUUAUCGCAUGAUAGAACCGGGAAAGAUUUAUCGGUAUGGGAUGGGCCCGCGUCUGAUUAGCUAGUUGGUGAGGUAACGGCUCACCAAGGCGACGAUCAGUAGCCAACCUUAGAGGGUGAUUGGCCACACUGGAACUGAGACACGGUCCAGACUCCUACGGGAGGCAGCAGUAGGGAAUAUUGGGCAAUGGGGGCAACCCUGGCCCAGCAACGCCGCGUGAACGAUGAAAAUCUUCGGAUUGUAAAGUUCUUUUCUUGAGGAAGAAGAAAGUGACG